rnacentral:rRNA from 1 species
UGAACGCUGGCGGCGUGCUUAACACAUGCAAGUCGAACGAACCUUCGGGUUAGUGGCGGACGGGUGAGUAACGCGUGAGAAUCUGCCCUCAGGAGGGGGAUAACGGUUGGAAACGACCGCUAAUACCCCAUAUGCCGCGAGGUGAAAUGAAUUUCGCCUGAGGAUGAGCUCGCGUCUGAUUAGCUAGUUGGUGGGGUAAAGGCCUACCAAGGCAUCGAUCAGUAGCUGGUCUGAGAGGAUGAUCAGCCACACUGGGACUGAGACACGGCCCAGACUCCUACGGGAGGCAGCAGUGGGGAAUUUUCCGCAAUGGGCGAAAGCCUGACGGAGCAACGCCGCGUGAGGGAUGAAGGCCUCUGGGCUGUAAACCUCUUUUAUCAAGGAAGAAGAUCUGACGGUACUUGAUGAAUAAGCCACGGCUA